UGGAAGUAAAAAGUCGUAACAAGGUCUCCGUUGGUGAACCAGCGGAGGGAUCAUUACCGAGUUAUACAACUCAUCAACCCUGUGAACAUACCUAAACGUUGCCUCGGCGGGAACAGACGGCCCCGUGAAAACGGGCCGCCCCCGCCAGAGGACCCCCUAACUCUGUUUCUAUAAUGUUUCUUCUGAGUAAAACAAGCAAAUAAAUUAAAACUUUCAACAACGGAUCUCUUGGCUCUGGCAUCGAUGAAGAACGCAGCGAAAUGCGAUAAGUAAUGUGAAUUGCAGAAUUCAGUGAAUCAUCGAAUCUUUGAACGCACAUUGCGCCCGCCAGUAUUCUGGCGGGCAUGCCUGUUCGAGCGUCAUUACAACCCUCAGGCCCCCGGGCCUGGCGUUGGGGAUCGGCGGAGGCCCUCCGUGGGCACACGCCGUCCCCCAAAUACAGUGGCGGUCCCGCCGCAGCUUCCAUCGCGUAGUAGCUAACACCUCGCGACUGGAGAGCGGCGCGGCCACGCCGUAAAACCCCCAACUCUUCUGAAGUUGACCUCGAAUCAGGUAGGAAUACCCGCUGAACUUAAGCAUAUCAAUAA
rnacentral:misc_RNA from 1 species